GACGAACGCUGGCGGCGUGCUUAACACAUGCAAGUCGAGCGGAAAGGCCCUUUCGGGGGUACUCGAGCGGCGAACGGGUGAGUAACACGUGAGCAACCUGCCCUUCACUUUGGGAUAACCAUCGGAAACGGUGGCUAAUACCGGAUAUGACAUCUCCUCGCAUGGGGUGGGUGUGGAAAGUUUUUCGGUGGGGGAUGGGCUCGCGGCCUAUCAGCUUGUUGGUGGGGUGAUGGCCUACCAAGGCGACGACGGGUAGCCGGCCUGAGAGGGCGACCGGCCACACUGGGACUGAGACACGGCCCAGACUCCUACGGGAGGCAGCAGUGGGGAAUCUUGCGCAAUGGGCGGAAGCCUGACGCAGCGACGCCGCGUGAGGGAUGACGGCCUUCGGGUUGUAAACCUCUUUCAGCAGGGACGAAGCGUAAGUGACGGUACCUGCAGAAGAAGCACCGGCCAACUACGUGCCAGCAGCCGCGGUAAGACGUAGGGUGCAAGCGUUGUCCGGAUUUAUUGGGCGUAAAGAGCUCGUAGGCGGCUUGUUGCGUCGACCGUGAAAACCUACCGCUUAACGGUGGGCUUGCGGUCGAUACGGGCAGGCUAGAGUUCGGUAGGGGAGACUGGAAUUCCUGGUGUAGCGGUGAAAUGCGCAGAUAUCAGGAGGAACACCGGUGGCGAAGGCGGGUCUCUGGGCCGAUACUGACGCU
rnacentral:rRNA from 1 species